GGAAUCAUGUCAAAAUGGUUAAGAGCAUGGAAGGCUAACGGGCUAAGAAGACUCAAGUAAAACAAACGCAAAUACGGACGCACAAGGUUGUACAGAACUGUGAAUUCUCAUCACGAAGCGUAAGCGGUCGAAGAUCGAGUCAAGUCGUGGAUUGUACGUGUGGGUGCGUGGUCACGUAAUUUAUUAUAAGUAUGUCAGAUUGUAUAAAUUUAUAGAAAGCAUUAAUGUAUUUAAUGUAAAAGAGUGAUUUAAUGUAGUUCUAAGUAUGUUAGAAUGAAUAUAAUGAAAGAAAAUUUUAAGUUC